rnacentral:rRNA from 1 species
ACACGACUACAUUAGAUACCCGUGUAGUCCUAGCCGUAAACGAUACUCGCUAGGUGUCGGCCACGGUGCGACCGUUGUCGGUGCCGUAGGGAAGCCGUGAAGCGAGCCACCUGGGAAGUACGGCCGCAAGGCUGAAACUUAAAGGAAUUGGCGGGGGAGCACAACAACGGGUGGAGCUUGCGGUUUAAUUGGAUUCAACGCCGGAAAUCUUACCGGGACCGACAGCAACAUGAAGGGCCAAGCUGAAGACUUUGCCGGAUUAGCUG